GCCGGGGACUGAGGCUCAAGGCCCGCGCGCGUGUCUCCAGCAGGGCCGCUGCUGCCGUCGACUCCGGAGCCCGAGCUCCCCGAAGGCCGCUUCCCUGCUCCCCGGACGCGGCGUGGGAGGUGCGCCAACCCGGGAGGACUGGGUGGCACAUCCCUUGCAGCGCCUUCAGGCCAGGAGCGGUCUCCCAUCCGGAGGUUGCACAUGAGUGCUGCGGGGUCACCUGUGUGUGAUCAGAUCGAGACCAGCUGCUGAGUAGUGGAGGGAGGAGCACCGGCCUGCCCUUAAGGUUAAGGGAUGCCUCGGUUCAUUCCCCUCUGGGCUUUGUGUGCUGAAGAAUGGUGAUCGGCGGUGUGGAGUUUGAAAGCUCGUGGCUGCAGCUUAGCCCAAGGAGAGGCUGUCUUUGCAGAGAAUGGUCAGCCAUGCUGCAGCAGGUUCAGAGUCCUGUGGUCACCAUCAGUUCGGACUGAAAACCCAGGCUUCAACAGUUGGUGUGGAAACGGUGCUUACCUGAGAUGUGGAGUCUGUUCUCUUAAAAGUGAACCAACUCUUGUUGGCUCUUAAUCUUAAAAAAAGAGCCAACAAGUGUGUUUGGCAAACUGUAGGGUAGGCACUGUUGGUGUCAUUGAAUUCUUGAGUUUUCUAGUAAUGUAGUAUAAAUACUGUAUUUUUAUCUCUCCUACCCAGAAAGCUUCUAUACUUUUAAAUAUUGUAUGAAUUUGUUCUGUUGGGUGAGGGUCUGAGUUCUUUAAGAUGCAAACAUAUUUCUUCCUGAAACUGAUACUUCUGUGCAAUUACCACAAACUGCAAUAAAGGAUGGUCUUUAGUA